GGAUCAGACCUUGAAAGCAUUAAUGGCUGCAGAGGAUAAGGUACUGAUGGCUCGUGUGGUUUUUAGGUUUAACUGCAACCCAGACAUCUUUCAGCUUCCAAUGCCUCCUGGUUCGUUUGGUAUAACGACUGCACCUUCACUUCACCCUCUGCUAUUUAUAUCUUGCUUUAAGUGCUUUCCCUUGGUCCUUUAUGCUCCUUUGUUUUCCCUUCAUAAAUGCUCUUUGGGCAGCCAAAAAAGGAGCCAAAUUAUCGUACUUCAAAGUUGUUGGAUUUGGUCACCCUGCCUUCUGCUGUUGCGAGGUUGGGGGGCAGUGUUCCUGGCAAAACUAAACAUUUUAAUACCUGAUGAUUUGGCUACUUUAAGGCAGCCCUUCGUCUCUAGGACUCAGUUUUCAUUUUUUCCCAUCCCUCUCCUUUUUCUCUCCUCCUUCCUUUGGCUUGUCUCCCACCCUUUCUGCCUCUGAUCGAAAACAUUAGCAAAUGUGCCGAGCUUGAAGAAGAAUUGAAAACUGUGACGAACAACUUGAAGUCACUGGAGGCUCAGGCUGAGAAGUACUCGCAGAAGGAAGACAGAUAUGAGGAAGAGAUCAAGGUCCUUUCCGACAAGCUGAAGGAGGUAAUAUGAGAGUUGUGGAUGAAGCCAACUGGAUUUUAAAUGAGUUUGUUUUCAU
rnacentral:sRNA from 1 species